CGAGCGAACGGAUUAAGAGCUUGCUCUUAUGAAGUUAGCGGCGGACGGGUGAGUAACACGUGGGUAACCUGCCCAUAAGACUGGGAUAACUCCGGGAAACCGGGGCUAAUACCGGAUAACAUUUUGAACCGCAUGGUUCGAAAUUGAAAGGCGGCUUCGGCUGUCACUUAUGGAUGGACCCGCGUCGCAUUAGCUAGUUGGUGAGGUAACGGCUCACCAAGGCAACGAUGCGUAGCCGACCUGAGAGGGUGAUCGGCCACACUGGGACUGAGACACGGCCCAGACUCCUACGGGAGGCAGCAGUAGGGAAUCUUCCGCAAUGGACGAAAGUCUGACGGAGCAACGCCGCGUGAGUGAUGAAGGCUUUCGGGUCGUAAAACUCUGUUGUUAGGGAAGAACAAGUGCUAGUUGAAUAAGCUGGCACCUUGACGGUACCUAACCAGAAAGCCACGGCUAACUACGUGCCAGCAGCCGCGGUAAUACGUAGGUGGCAAGCGUUAUCCGGAAUUAUUGGGCGUAAAGCGCGCGCAGGUGGUUUCUUAAGUCUGAUGUGAAAGCCCACGGCUCAACCGUGGAGGGUCAUUGGAAACUGGGAGACUUGAGUGCAGAAGAGGAAAGUGGAAUUCCAUGUGUAGCGGUGAAAUGCGUAGAGAUAUGGAGGAACACCAGUGGCGAAGGCGACUUUCUGGUCUGUAACUGACACUGAGGCGCGAAAGCGUGGGGAGCAAACAGGA
rnacentral:rRNA from 1 species